UGAGUUUGAUGAUGGCUCUGAAUGAACGCUGUUCAAAUGUUUGACACAUGCUAAUCGAACGACUAGUCUUGGAGGGGUACCCUUCUUGCAUUAUCUAAUGAAGCAUCAGGGUAACCAGCACCUAGUUUUAUUGGCCAGGUGCUCCUUAACUAGUAGUGGUGUACAGGUGAGUAUAAGAUAAUCUAACUACCUAGGAGUAAGGAUUAAGAUCCCUUAUAUUAAUAAAGAAGUAAAUCUUCGCUCCUAGACGUUGAUGUAUCUCGUGCGUGGUAAUAGGUAAGAUAACAGCUUACCUAGCUAUACGCACGUAGUCGUGACUGAGAGGUCGAUCGACCACAGUGGGCAUGAAUAAAGCCCACGACGAUAGUCUCAGCAGUGAAGAAUUUUGGUCAAUAGCCUAACGGCUGAACCAGCAACUUGAAAGAAUGUAUAGGGGAAACCCUACUUGCAUCAUGAAAACUGAUGCAGGAUCGACUAUGUCGUAUAAAGUUCUAGCUAGUACUAUGAUAAUGACAUUAUCUGGCUAUGUGUCUUGACCAAAUUACGUGCCAGCUGUCGCGGUAAUACGUAGAAGACUAGUGUUAUUCAUAUUUAAUCGGUUUAAAGGGUACCUAGACGGCAGAUCAAGCCUUCAACAAAUAAAGGGACUAAUCUAGCUAGAGUUACUUAUGAGGAAGCUAUAAAGUACUGCUGGUGUAGAGAUGAAAUUCUGUCAUACCUCUUUCCGCGAUGGGAAACGACGGCACAGGUAAAGGCGAAGGCGUCUUCUUAUGGGAUAACUGACGUUGAGGGACGAAGGCUUAAUGUAGCAAACAGGAUUAGUUACCCUAAUAACCUAAGCAGAAAAUGAUGAAUGUCAUAGGUUAGGUUAUCUUAUCCUAUAAAUGAAAGUGUAAGCAUUCCACCUCAAGAGUAAUUUGGCAACAUUGGAACUGAAAUCAUUAGAUGUUUAAUUUGAUGAUCCACAAAGAACCUUACCACAAUUUGAAUAUUUAGAGUUUUUCACCUUGCCUCUGCCUUGCUAGAAGCUUAGUGAUUUGAUCUUUGCAUUUGGCAUAGCUACAGGUGAGGCUGAUGCUUUAUCUACAAGCGUUGCACGGCUGUCUUCAGUUAAUGUCGCGAGACUGGGGUUAGUUCCCUUAAAUUAACGUAAACCCUUGUCCUAGUUUAAAUAUAGGACAGUUCACCGCUAUAUUGGAUGUGAUAAUAGGGACUAAGACAAGUCAUCAUGGCUUGUGGGCUAUAGACGUGCUACGUAGGCCUAACAAAAGGGUGUGAAAUCGUGAGAUUGAGCUAAUCCCCCAAAUAUGGACAUAAACUGACAAUGGAUUGUAGUCUGUAACUCGACUGCAUGAAAAAGGAAUUACUAGUAAUCGUGUAUAAGUAUGGCACGGUGAAUCCAAUCUCAGAUAGGUACUAACCACUCGUCAGGCGCCGAAAGAAGUAUGUGCAAUAAGUUUGGCUACUGUCUAUUUAUAAUCCGGACAACUUGGUCCAGAAACUUAGGCAGGAUGUCUUCGUAUGUGUGACUUUGAUUGGUGUUAAGUCGAAAUACGGUUCGUGUAGCGGAAGUUG
rnacentral:rRNA from 1 species